rnacentral:lncRNA from 1 species
GCAGUAUCAGAAUACUGCACACUUUCAGCAAUUUGAGGGGACAUGGAGGCAGUUAACCAGGAAAUUACCAUAUUAUUGCAUUUGUCCCAUAAUCUUUGCUAAGUCACAUUAGUGACUGGCCUGGGACAUGUGCCAUCAACAAAACCAAUUUUGAUCUUAGCAGACAACGCGACAAUCAUUUUCCUCCUCCAAACCCCAUAACUACUGCCGGAGAAGGGAGUGGACACAAGAGAAACUCCAGGAACAUCAGAGGAGUAAACAAAAAGGGGACUG